rnacentral:rRNA from 1 species
AUUGAACGCUGGCGGCAGGCCUAACACAUGCAAGUCGAACGGUAGCACAGAGAGCUUGCUCUCGGGUGACGAGUGGCGGACGGGUGAGUAACGUCUGGGAAACUGCCCGAUGGAGGGGGAUAACUACUGGAAGCGGUAGCUAAUACCGCAUAACGUCGCAAGACCAAAGUGGGGGACCUUCGGGCCUCACACCAUCGGAUGUGCCCAGAUGGGAUUAGCUAGUAGGUGGGGUAAUGGCUCACCUAGGCGACGAUCCCUAGCUGGUCUGAGAGGAUGACCAGCCACACUGGAACUGAGACACGGUCCAGACUCCUACGGGAGGCAGCAGUGGGGAAUAUUGCACAAUGGGCGCAAGCCUGAUGCGGCCAUGCCGCGUGUAUGAAGAAGGCCUUCGGGUUGUAAAGUACUUUCAGCGGGGAGGAAGGCGGUGGAGUUAAUAACUUCACCGAUUGACGUUACCCGCAGAAGAAGCACCGGCUAACUCCGUGCCAGCCGCCGCAGUAA